rnacentral:tRNA from 1 species
CAGAUUAAAGCUUAUUUAGUAAAGCAUUUAAUUUACAUUUAAAAGUUAUUGUGCAAAUCAAUUUAAUUUGA